CGCGGCCUAUCAGCUUGUUGGUGGGGUAACGGCCUACCAAGGCAUCGACGGGUAGCUGGUCUGAGAGGACGAUCAGCCACACUGGGACUGAGACACGGCCCAGACUCCUACGGGAGGCAGCAGUGGGGAAUAUUGCGCAAUGGGCGAAAGCCUGACGCAGCAACGCCGCGUGGGGGAUGAAGGCUUUCGGGUUGUAAACCCCUUUCAGUGAUGACGAAAAUGACGGUAGUCACAGAAGAAGGUCCGGCCAACUACGUGCCAGCAGCCGCGGUAACACGUAGGGACCAAGCGUUGUCCGGAUUUAUUGGGCGUAAAGAGCUCGUAGGCGGUUCCGUAAGUCGGAUGUGAAAACUCAGGGCUCAACCCUGAGACGCCAUCUGAUACUGCGGUGACUAGAGUCCGGUAGGGGAGCAUGGAAUUCCUGGUGUAGCGGUGGAAUGCGCAGAUAUCAGGAGGAACACCAAUGGCGAAGGCAGUGCUCUGGGCCGGAACUGACGCUGAGGAGCGAAAGCAUGGGGAGCAAACAGGAUUAGAUACCCUGGUAGUCCAUGCCGUAAACGUUGGGCACUAGGUGUGGGAUCUUCUAACGGAUUCCGUGCCGUAGCUAACGCAUUAAGUGCCCCGCCUGGGGAG
rnacentral:rRNA from 1 species